UCGAGCGGAUGACAGGAGCUUGCUCCUUGAUUCAGCGGCGGACGGGUGAGUAAUACCUAGGAAUCUGCCUGGUAGUGGGGGACAACGUUUCGAAAGGAACGCUAAUACCGCAUACGUCCUACGGGAGAAAGCAGGGGACCUUCGGGCCUUGCGCUAUCAGAUGAGCCUAGGUCGGAUUAGCUAGUUGGUGGGGUAAUGGCUCACCAAGGCGACGAUCCGUAACUGGUCUGAGAGGAUGAUCAGUCACACUGGAACUGAGACACGGUCCAGACUCCUACGGGAGGCAGCAGUGGGGAAUAUUGGACAAUGGGCGAAAGCCUGAUCCAGCCAUGCCGCGUGUGUGAAGAAGGUCUUCGGAUUGUAAAGCACUUUAAGUUGGGAGGGAGGGCAGUAAGUUAAUACCUUGCUGUUUUGACGUUACCGCCCGAAUAGCC
rnacentral:rRNA from 1 species